rnacentral:rRNA from 1 species
UACGUAGGGUGCAAGCGUUGUCCGGAAUUAUUGGGCGUAAAGAGCUCGUAGGCGGUCUGUCGCGUCGGCUGUGAAAUCCCGAGGCUCAACCUCGGGUCUGCAGUCGAUACGGGCAAACUAGAGUAUUGCAGGGGAGACUGGAAUUCCUGGUGUAGCGGUGAAAUGCGCAGAUAUCAGGAGGAACACCGGUGGCGAAGGCGGGUCUCUGGGCAAUAACUGACGCUGAGGAGCGAAAGCUAGGGGAGCAAACAGG